ACACAUGCAAGUCGAGGGGCAGCAUGGUCUUAGCUUGCUAAGGCCGAUGGCGACCGGCGCACGGGUGAGUAACACGUAUCCAACCUGCCGUCUACUCUUGGACAGCCUUCUGAAAGGAAGAUUAAUACAAGAUGGCAUCAUGAGUCCGCAUGUUCACAUGAUUAAAGGUAUUCCGGUAGACGAUGGGGAUGCGUUCCAUUAGAUAGUAGGCGGGGUAACGGCCCACCUAGUCUUCGAUGGAUAGGGGUUCUGAGAGGAAGGUCCCCCACAUUGGAACUGAGACACGGUCCAAACUCCUACGGGAGGCAGCAGUGAGGAAUAUUGGUCAAUGGGCGAGAGCCUGAACCAGCCAAGUAGCGUGAAGGAUGACUGCCCUAUGGGUUGUAAACUUCUUUUAUAAAGGAAUAAAGUCGGGUAUGCAUACCCGUUUGCAUGUACUUUAUGAAUAAGGAUCGGCUAACUCCGUGCCAGCAGCCGCGGUAAUACGGAGGAUCCGAGCGUUAUCCGGAUUUAUUGGGUUUAAAGGGAGCGUAGAUGGAUGUUUAAGUCAGUUGUGAAAGUUUGCGGCUCAACCGUAAAAUUGCAGUUGAUACUGGAUAUCUUGAGUGCAGUUGAGGCAGGCGGAAUUCGUGGCGUAGCGGUGAAAUGCUUAGAUAUCACGAAGAACCCCGAUUGCGAAGGCAGCCUGCUAAGCUGCAACUGACAUUGAGGCUCGAAAGUGUGGGUAUCAAACAGGAUUAGAUACCCUGGUAGUCCACACGGUAAACGAUGAAUACUCGCUGUUUGCGAUAUACGGCAAGCGG
rnacentral:rRNA from 1 species